rnacentral:lncRNA from 10 species
CAACGAUCCAGAGGCUGCCCUUUGUGCCACUUCCCCAUGCCCUGGGCAUGGAGCUCACCGGAGAUUAACCCAGCUUCCCUGAGCCUGGGGGAACCUGGGUUCAGUACCACCACCCCCAGGAGCUUCCCUGGAUUGUAAACCAGUGGCGAACUGGAAAUAGAAAUAAACCCAAGAAGGGCUUUGAUAAUGCUGCUGCCACCCGAGAACUUAAAGGCGAGUCCUGCUGUGCUUUGAUCAAUCUAACCAAAACGCACAACCAGGUGAUGCACUCAGAGGCUCAGAGAUUUGGAGCCGAGGGCUUUGACCCCAAGAUAUGAGGGGUAUUUGCAUAAAGCCUUAUGGGAAAGGGUCUCAGUCUGAGCUGGUGACUGGAUGCCUCGAUGGGCCCCAACCCUG